rnacentral:rRNA from 1 species
AGGACGAACGCUGGCGGCGUGCUUAACACAUGCAAGUCGAGCGGAAAGGCCCUUCGGGGUACUCGAGCGGCGAACGGGUGAGUAACACGUGAGCAAUCUGCCCCUAGCUUCGGGAUAGCUCCGGGAAACCGGAAUUAAUACCGGAUACGACCACGGCCGACAUCUGCUGUGGUGGAAAGGAUUCCGGCUAAGGAUGGGCUCGCGGCCUAUCAGCUAGUUGGUGGAGUAACGGCCCACAAGGCGACGACGGGUA